AAAAGAUCAGAAUGUUUCUUACGUUCUCUAUUUGCUAUGGCGAAUAUAAAAAUUUGUAAUUCAAUUCAAUCGUCGAACGCGAUAAAAAUGGACUUGUCACAUCUUACGGGUCACGGCGUCACACGUAAUAUCAGAUCUGAUUGUGUUACAUUGGAAAAAUCGUUAACUUUCAACUAAUCUUGACAAGGUUAAGUCACUUCGUAUGUGUAUCAUAACAAGUAUAUAUAAGUAUACAAGUAUGUAAGUAUCGAACUCGCACGCAAACUCAACAGAUAUGAAACUGCGGAUCGGAAGAAAAUAUACCAUUUAUAAAACAACUCUGCUGUUAAUUUAUAUGUACCAUUGAAUUACAAUAAUUAUCCUAUUAAUUUAUAACAAUUCUACAGUAAAUUUGGAACAGUUACACUAUCAAUUCGUAAUAAUUAAAUUAAUAAUUUAUUUCUUUUUAUCUGAUAUUAACUAAAUCUUUGAAAUUUCUCAAACGGUAUUUUAUUUCCAUUUAAUUUUAUAUUUUAAUUUUUAAUGUAGUACUUCAGUUUUCAUUUAGCUAUUCACUUAACUAUUUCAAAUACAAUCGGUUACAACGCAAAGCAUUAAUAACAUAUACCUAUGGGUAAAGUUUAACACUUCAUAUCCGAACAAUGCCACAAAAUCAAAUUUUGUUCAUGGAUUUGAGGAAGCAAAUGACAUGGCAAUGAAAACAAAGGCAAUGAAAUUUCGUCAUCCAAUUAUGCAUGUUAUGAUUGAUAAGUUACAUGGUUUGGUUCUUUUGGUAAUAAGUUCAAUAUUCAAACAUGAUUAUUUAAGUUUACAUACGAGCUAAACUUCCACGACUUCUACUCAUGCACGAUUCAAUAAUUUUCUAACGACAAUCAAUAACAUUUUUAUUGACAGAUAUUUGAAAGAUAUCUCCAUCUUCGUAUAUAAGGCUAACAGAGUCAUUGUUAAAUUUUAUUUCUGUCUUAAUGAACAUAAAUUUCUUGUCACAACUUGUGGUACUCUCUGGUUUUGAAAACAUAUUUAAUGAAAUUAUUUAAGAGUCAAAUAUAACGUGAUUUGGUGUCCGUAAUAAUUUCCUACAUGGGAAUAGAUAAUACUAACUUGCACACGAUAUGUAUGCUUACAAGUCUUCUAGAUACAUUCAGAUCCUUAUUAGUAAAUUUCAAUACUCAGUACUCCUUUAUUAUCAAAAAGAUUUCCAUGUUCUGUUCCCGCUAACAUAAUAUUAAUAAAAUGUAUCGAAUAUAAUACAAGCAUGUUUAAGAAUCUUUUACACUAUUUAUCCAGUUUCUUUUGUCCAAUUAUGCAUUAAAUUAAAAUGAACGAAAUAAAACGUAGAAUAGAUAUUUUAUUGAUAAGUAGAAUUAAUUUAUGAUAUAUGCACGCUUUUUGUACAAAAAUACAUUGUUUAACUUAGAACGAAAGGUUGAAAAUUUCUUUAUUAAUAUUUUUAACAGCCUGUUAUAAUUUCAUUUUUUUUCAUUUUUCUUCAAGUUAAAUCUUUUGAUACGAAAGGCUGCCGACAGGACUGCGAUCUAAUGUACUUUAGUAAGGACGUUUAUUGCACCAUCCGUACAUUUUAAUAUUCUUGGAUAUAAUAUAUGGUAUAAGUCUGAUAAUAUUCCAACGGUCCAUAAAAUAGUAUCUAUUAUCAGAUUAGUAUCUAUUAUCUAUAGUUUAGUUUUAUUUUUAAGUAGGUUCUAGUUCUAAGAUUUCGAUUAAAUUAAUACUAAGCAACUGUGUUAGACGGUGGAGGUCAACGAAGGACUCAUUGUUUGUUUUUCGUUUUAAGUCGUAGUUUUAAAGCUUAGUCUUAACCCUGAAUUUUAAGUCCCAGCUUUAAGUUGUAUCGUUAAUUUUAAGCAUUACUUUUAAUACAUUUGUAAAAAUCGAUGUAGUUGAUCGAAAUAUUUGUUCGCAGAAAUAAAACUUUGGUCAUCUGUUUGCUUUUUUCAUA